rnacentral:lncRNA from 1 species
CAAGCUUGGAUUGGAAGUUGCUGGCCAGAUGGGGUGUUUGGAUGAGAACUGUUCUAGCAGCUGCCGUGGUAUCCAGUGAGAUUGUGAGACCCAGUCUGACAACCAAGGGGAUGAAGAUCUCUCUUUUCUUCUGUUUCCUCCUAGCUACAAGGUGUUUCCUUGUAGCAUAAUGGGUAAUCAGUCACCUGUGCGGAACUCUGGAAGCCAAACUUCAACUAAGACUAAAGAAGGAGGCCUCCAUGCUCAGUACCAGACAUUGAGAAACCAGGAGUACACUUUUGUAUUUGUGGUUAAACUGGAUUCACAUAUUCUCUAAGUGGAUAUUUUUAGAUUUGGAGUUGUCUUUGAAAAGAAUAGAAAUGAGGUAAUGUUUAGUAUGCAAGUGAUACUGAAAAAACUCAGCGCUGGGAAUGGUCUUUCAACUCCCCUUCCUGGAAGACACAUAUAACAGUGCACAGAACACAUUAUAAAUAAUUCUAUUGGCCCAUGCCUCUGUCUAUGCUGUCAAGAAAGGAAGAAUGGAAACAGACCAAAUGGACCAAUAAACAGAAAUGUCCCAAG